rnacentral:rRNA from 1 species
UUCCGCGUGCAGGAUGAAGGCCCUCGGGUUGUAAACUGCUUUUGUACGGAACGAAAAGGUCUCUCCUAAUACGAGAGGCUCAUGACGGUACCGUAAGAAUAAGCACCGGCUAACUACGUGCCAGCAGCCGCGGUAAUACGUAGGGUGCAAGCGUUAAUCGGAAUUACUGGGCGUAAAGCGUGCGCAGGCGGUUAUAUAAGACAGAUGUGAAAUCCCCGGGCUCAACCUGGGAACUGCAUUUGUGACUGUAUAGCUAGAGUACGGUAGAGGGGGAUGGAAUUCCGCGUGUAGCAGUGAAAUGCGUAGAUAUGCGGAGGAACACCGAUGGCGAAGGCAAUCCCCUGGACCUGUACUGACGCUCAUGCACGAAAGCGUGGGGAGCAAACAGGAUUAGAUACCCUGGUAGUCCACGCCCUAAACGAUGUCAACUGGUUGUUGGGUCUUCACUGACUCAGUAACGAAGCUA